UACGUAGGGUGCAAGCGUUAUCCGGAAUUAUGGGGCGUAAAGAGCUCGUAGGCGGUUUGUCGCGUCUGCUGUGAAAACUGGAGGCUCAACCUCCAGCCUGCAGUGGGUACGGGCAGACUAGAGUGCGGUAGGGGAGACUGGAAUUCCUGGUGUAGCGGUGAAAUGCGCAGAUAUCAGGAGGAACACCGGUGGCGAAGGCGGGUCUCUGGGCCGUAACUGACGCUGAGGAGCGAAAGCAUGGGGAGCGAACAGG
rnacentral:rRNA from 1 species